GAUGAACGCUAGCUACAGGCUUAACACAUGCAAGUCGAGGGGUAACGAGAGGAAAGCUUGCUUUCCUUGUCGACGACCGGCGCACGGGUGAGUAACGCGUAUCCAACCUGCCCCCAACUAGGGAAUAACCUUGCGAAAGUAAGACUAAUACCCUAUAAUUUCCUCAGAUGUCAUCUGACGAGGAAUAAAGAUUUAUCGGUUGUGGAUGGGGAUGCGUCUGAUUAGCUUGUUGGCGGGGUAACGGCCCACCAAGGCAACGAUCAGUAGGGGUUCUGAGAGGAACGUCCCCCACAUUGGAACUGACACACGGUCCAAACUCCUAUGGGAGGCAGCAGUGAGGAAUAUUGGUCAAUGGGCGGAAGCCUGAACCAGCCAAGUAGCGUGCAGGAUGACGGCCCUAUGGGUUGUAAACUGCUUUUAUACAGGAAUAAAGUUAGCCACGUGUGGUUAUUUGUAGGUACUGUAUGAAUAAGGACUGGCUAAUUCCGUGCCAGCAGCCGCAGUAA
rnacentral:rRNA from 1 species